UAGCUGUUUCUGAACUCCCCAAAAGAAGAAAAUGAUUUAUUAUUCAAACUAAAAAUAGAAGUCUUGAUAACUAAAAUACAAUCACAUCAUUCCUAAGAUGCUCCUAAAUCAAUGAUUUAGACUUCGACGAUUUAGACUUCCAAUUAGCUAAGAUACUCCUAAAUCAAUGCAUGUCAGAUCUUCUUAGAAGAGUAUCUUGAAAAAAGCGUCAUCAACUUCAUUUCAUUACUAAAAAGACAUUGGGAAGAAUUCAAGGAUGGCAUGACAAGUGAUGCCAUAGAAGGAGAGCCAAGCCACUUAGGGAUAAAUUCUAUCUUCUCCCAUUCUAUGCCCAUAUUAAAUGUCUUUGAACCCAUCCUUCUCCCCAAUAAAUCUUUUUAUGCUCCUUCUACUAAACUUCAUAAUGACACUAGGAAUCCAUCAAGACAUCCUAAGAAUAGGAGUCAUGAAGAUUAUAGGAAUACCUUUGAAGAGCAACAACAAUAGCAGGAACGCGUAAAACAUAUUAGAAAUACAUAUGCUAUGGAUGGAAGAAGAUGAAGUUUUAGCACUAGCAUCUAAACUUGGUCUAAAUUCAAACGUUAAGCUUAAAUCAAUUUCUUUGAUAAACAAAACUCACCUAAGUUUAGAAAAAGCUUUAGAUGAGACCAACCUUAGGGACAUCAAUUCAUGGGAAAUCCUAGAAAAUAAAAUAUCUAAUAAAAGUCAUUGGCAUGAAAUAAUAGAGGCAAACUUUUUGCCUAUAGACAACCAUGAAUAGACACCCUUAGAGUUUGAAAAGGGAGAUCAUAUUGUUGAGCAUGUGAAUUAUUUCAUUAAACACCCUAUCAGACCCAUGCUCAUAUGAGAAACCUUCUGGAUCAAUUAGUCUCUAAUAUUAUCACACACGAGAUUGUAACACCCUAAAAAUUUGCUCUUUUUAAAUUAGGUGGAAAAUGAUUUAAUUGGGUAUGUUUGUGCUCAUGAAAAUAUAGGAAAAAUAAUAUUUUCAUUAAAUUAAAAUUCAUUAUAGGAUUUAGCAACAUGUAUGUGCACUCAUGCUGGAGCAUUUAUAUUUUUGUAUUGUGUGACUUUGAGUAAAGUUCAAAAGUAUUUCAAAAGGAUUUUUAAUGAGUUUCAAAUGGCUUUUGAAAUAAAAAGAAACAAAAGAAAACAAAAAAAGAAAAGAAAAAGGAAAAAAACGAAAACUCUCUGUCUCCAUCUGUUUUUUGCCCGAGAGGCCCAACCAAACUUUUUCCCCCACACCUCAGGAGAAGUUUUAAGCAUGUGAUCAACCAGUCCGUUGGAUCUUGUAGAGAGAAGUUAAUACCCGAAGUUUGGAGUUGUCUAUCCACUGUUUGCUAUCAAAGGUUAUAUCUUUUAUAUUUAGUACGCUAUAUAAUUUAUGCAUUGUCCUUUGAUAUUACCCUUUAUUUGUAGCUAUAUGUGAGAUUUGGCUUUUAAUACUCGCAUAUGGUGCAUAUCUGAUUUUGUCCUUAAAAUCGGGUAUUACAGAGAUCCUCAACCCCCUUAUUCUACCUAUUAAUAAAAUUAUUAAGAGGGUGGUUGUAGACACAUAUGUUUACCAUCAAUAUUGUAGAUCUUGUUGUGGUGAAAAUACACUUAGAGUGGUGUUGGAAGGGAAACCACUUCGCCA
rnacentral:lncRNA from 1 species